rnacentral:rRNA from 1 species
UAGUUUUUUUAGAAAUAAAUUUAAUUUACAAAUUUUUUAUUUUUUGAUUAUUUAUAUAAUUAAAAAAAUUAUUAAUUUGAAUAUNCUAUGGGAUAAGCUUUAGAAUAAAUAAUUAAAAAUUAAUAAUUAAUAUAUAAAAUGUAUGCUUAGAAUUAGUAAUCAUUUAUGAAUUUGUUAUAAAUUAUUUUAUAAUUUUUAUUAUUUAUUAUAUUUUAAUUUAUUUAUAAAAAUGUUUUUGUUAAUAAUUAAUAAGAAGUAAUAAUGAUAGAAUUAGUAUAUUUUUUUGUUUAGAUAAUUUAAUUUGAUAAGUUUAUAUAAAGAACUCGGCAAAUAUUGUGCUCGCCUGUUUAACAAAAACAUGUCUUUUUGAGUUAUUUUUAAAGUCUGACCUGCCCACUGAGUAUUUUAAAUGGCCGCAGUAUUCUGACUGUGCAAAGGUAGCAUAANCAUUAGUCUUUUAAUUGAAGGCUGGUAUGAAUGGUUGGACGAAGUAUAUNCUGUUUCAUAUAAAUUUAUAAUUGAAUUUUAUAUUUUAGUUAAAAAGCUAAAAUUUAUUUAAAAGACGAGAAGACCCUAUAAAUCUUUAUAUUUAGUAUUGUUUAAAUUUUUUGGAUUUGUUUUAUUUUUAUUUUAUUAAAUAUUUUGUUGGGGUGAUGUUAAAAUUUAAUAAACUUUUAAUUUAUUUAAGUCAUUAAUUUAUGAUUUGUUGAUCCAUUAAUAAUGAUUAUAAGAUUAAGUUACUUUAGGGAUAACAGCGUAAUUUUUUUGGAGAGUUCAUAUCGAUAAAAAAGUUUGCGACCUCGAUGUUGGAUUAAGAAAUACCUUAGGUGUAGCCGCUUAAGUAACAAGUCUGUUCGACUUUUA